rnacentral:rRNA from 1 species
UGGGGAAUCUUGCGCAAUGGGCGAAAGCCUGACGCAGCGACGCCGCGUGGGUGAUGAAGGCCUUCGGGUUGUAAAGCCCUGUGGGGAGAGACGAAUAAGUGUUGGCUAAUAUCCAGCAUGAUGACGGUAUCUCCUUAGCAAGCACCGGCUAACUCUGUGCCAGCAGCCGCGGUAAGACAGAGGGUGCAAACGUUGUUCGGAAUUACUGGGCGUAAAGCGUGUGUAGGCGGCUAUGUAAGUCGGAUGUGAAAGCCCCAGGCUCAACCUGGGAAGUGCACUCGAUACUGCGUAGCUUGAGUAUCGGAGAGGUUGGUGGAAUUCUCGGUGUAGAGGUGAAAUUCGUAGAUAUCGAGAGGAACACCGGUGGCGAAGGCGGCCAACUGGACGAAUACUGACGCUGAGACACGAAAGCGUGGGGAGCAAACA